AUGUAAUAGCAGCUCUCCUGCCCAGCUGUGACUAUGCAGAAGUUCUGAGCUGUUGUUAAGAAAUCUGACUACCUGUGGGAGGCACCAGGCAGAUGCCAUGUAGAAAUGGAAGAACCUAAGACUGCACCGGAAAGAGGUCAAGUGGGCCCAGCAUCGCAACUGAAAACCAACCUCCCGCCUGACCGUCCAAGGCACCAGACAGUUGAGAGAGUCACCUUGAAUGUUCCAGCCCAAGCAGACCCCCAGAUGGCUGCAGUCCCAGCUGAUAUUCCGUGAAGUAGAUCUUCUCAGGACCUGAGAACCAUAGAUGGAUCUGAACCAGGAUCUUCCUAAAGAUAAAAUGUUGAAAGAGAGAUCGAGAUUUAUGAAGUCAAGAAAGAAGUACUACACCCUUAAGCAGCAAAAGUCCAAAUUACAAUGCAACAAUCAUAUGAAAAGAAGUGACUUAAAAAUGACCUGAAACCAGACUGUCUCCAGUUGUUCAUCCAUAAUGAACAUCUGUUACCUGGCAUCCACUGGCAGUGAUUCCCUGAGGAAACAGGGUGGGCCUGAGUUAUAAUGUUUCCAAAUAAAACUAGCUGAAGUACU